UUAAUUUGGACCACUAUGGAAGACAGUGACGCCUAAGAAAAAAAAACCAAAGGUGAAUAAAGACAAAUCCGCUACUGAACCCAACACAGAUCCAAGGACUGACAACUCAAAAGCCAGAUCAUCAACUGUCUGCUGGAGCACAAGAACUGCAUCAAUAUAAAGUAAAAACAGAAACCAAUGACCUACAUGAUGAUUUGUAGAAAGGAGGAGCAAAAAAUCGAGGUGACCUGGGUGAGUAAGAGGAGGAGGCCACUCUGCAGGCUAAAUAACACAAGGUUGUGCUGGACGAGGUUCCUUUGAAACCCCUCACAUUAGAACCUCCGGGAGGAGGGGGAGCUCAGCAAGAAGUGGAAGCAGUAAUUGAGAAGGAAAGAUCAUACAGGGUGUGGAACGAGUCCCGGACACAGACAGAGGUAGGAACCCCAUUGCCUCACCACAAGGAACUGUCCCCAACCUAUACAUGGAAAGUGGGAAACUCUUAGAAGAUGAUCAUUGAGGACAACUGCCUUUGCCUCUUCUGGUCCGAGGACUUUAAGACCAAGACACUCCUGGAAGGUGGCAUCACAUUUGGGAAAGAGCACACCACUGGAGAAAGCUCCGACCUAACCUGAGUGUUCUACAGAGCGACCCCACCUGGUCUCGGAGGCUCUACAACCUGCUUUUUGUUCUUGUUUUGCACAAUCAUGUGCUUGUUUAUUUUGACUUGCUGCCACAGAUAUUUAAAGGGACGAUUUCAUUUUGGACUGGUGUGUUCCCUCAGUUGAUGAUAAAUAUAUACAGUGUAUGUAUAUACAGUCAUAUGAAAAAGUCUGGGAACCCCUCUUAAUUCUUUGGA